AGCUACACACAGCUCAGGGAACUCAAGGAAGAGGUGAGAUCCUAUCAAGCAAAUAAAUAGGCCAGGGACUGAAACGCAGCCUCACUGUAGUUGCUAUCAGGUUUUGUAUUAUUUGUAUAGUUUCUCUUAUCCCACAGACAAAACAGGUUCAAAGGAGAAAAUUCAUUAUCUGGGGUAGAACAUACAGAUACAUCCUUCCCAGCCCUGCAAGAAGAAAAUGAUGAUUUGAAAAGAGAAUGAGCAGACUGGGGAGAGUGGUCAGGAACACAAGACCCUUCCAGCAGAAGUACGUAAGUAUUAGAUUAAACCGAGGAUGAACAACCUGGAGUGGAUAAAAACUCCCCAAACCAUGUGCAAAGGCAAUGAUGUUUCCAGCAUUUUGAAUAUGCAUGAACAGGAGAGGACAGUUUUGUCUCUGACAAGGGUGAGACACAAGGUGAUGAGAAGUUAAACAUGAAUUUCAGCUACAGACAGGUUUAGGAAGGGCCUCAGCUGGGCAAAGCCACGCAGAAAGGAUCCACAGCUUUCAAGCCUAUUGCUUAGGUGAGGAUAUAAUAAAGAUCUUUUGAAGGAAGGAUCACCUUAUUUAUUCCACUCUGAAACAACAUGUGUUGCACAUUUUUAUUAUGUAUAAUGUUGAUCCUGUUUAGAAUACAUACUAAGGGUGUAACUGGCACAGCAUCUCUUUGUCCCAUGCCUGCCCUUUCCCUGGGUGUGUCCUUUAUAGACAGUGCCUCAGGAGACUCAAGAUGGAGAUGGGUGAUAUUACGGUGAAAUUAACCAUAAAGAAAACAUUUAAAUAAAAAUUAUUAACCCAGUGUUAGAGCUAUUAUGAGACAGAAAAGAAAUGUCAGAGAAAAAAAAUGUGUACCAUGACUGCCCCAUUACACUAUAAUUAGUUUAUCUUUGUAUAAUUUAUACUUAGCUCUAUGUCAAUGAAUUCCAGACAGAAGAAGUCCCUGGCCUGCAGCAAGGCUGAAGAGAGAGAAGCCCUGGAUAGCAAAGAAUUUUUAAAGUUUUCUUUCGAAGGAAAGACUCCCAGUGAAAAAUACAGUCCCAAGCACCACUCCAGAAAGGACGAGUGCAGGUGUGCCAUGUCUCACUCUGAUGAGAGAACAGGACAAAAAUAAUAUUCUCCCUUUUACAAGAGGAUUGUUUUUUUCUACUUUUUUGCCAUUGCAAACCUGAAAGACUGACUUACUUUCUUUGAGAAUUUUUCAUUUGAGAAUUUUAAUUAUUGUUUAGAACAUACUGUAUUUUGCCAAGUAAGAUUAUAAUAAGAAAUUUAGAUCCUAUUUCCAGGAGUAUCUUGGAAACUAAAACAAUUAUUUCUCUAAAUAAACUUCAGUUCUCAAUUGCA
rnacentral:lncRNA from 1 species